AAAUGCGAUAAGUAAUGUGAAUUGCAGAAUUCAGUGAAUCAUCGAAUCUUUGAACGCACCUUGCGCUCCUUGGUAUUCCUUGGAGCAUGCCUGUUUGAGUAUCAUGAAAUCUUCAAAGUAAAUCUUUUGUUAACUCAAUUGGUUUCUACUUUGGUAUUGGAGGUCUUUGCAGCUUCACACCUGCUCCUCUUUGUUCAUUAGCUGGAUCUCAGUGUUAUGCUUGGUUCCACUCGGCGUGAUAAGUUAUCUAUCGCUGAGGACACUGUAAAAGGUGGCCAAGGUAAAUGCAGAUGAACCGCUUCUAAUAGUCCAUUGACUUGGACAAUACUUUUAUGAUCAGAUCUCAAAUCAGGUAGGACUACCCGCUGAACUUAAGC
rnacentral:misc_RNA from 1 species